rnacentral:lncRNA from 1 species
GAGACUUGAUCAGUUUUCACUUUAUUUAUUGAGCACCAAUGUCACGGAUUCCUUGAGGAACUAUCAUGUAGACUUUUUGUUACAAUUUAAAUCAUUGGAUCGUGCGGGCACCUAUUCCAAUCUAACUAGAUAAGAGAGCCCUUACUACCCAUCCAUAUAUGCAGAAAUAAACAUAAUUCUUUUAGGCAAUAAUACAAUAAAGUUAAACAAGUCUAAAUUCAUUGACGACAUUCUUUACAUCUUCAGAAAUAAACACUACCCAAGCCCUAGCCUAGACAAGUACAAGAGCUCAAAAAUAAUAACGACAAACAAGGACACAACUCCCACUGAAUGGAAAGAGUUGAAACUGUUGUGAAUACCAGCUGCAUCAAAUGAGAAACCAAAACUGAUCCUGCAACAAAUCCAUAUCCCCAAAAAGGGAUAUAGUAAGAGUAAUAUUAGCACAACUGCACAUACUAGUAGGCAUCAUCACCGAUUAGGGUUAGAAGCAUACACAACAUAUAGAAAAUCAAGGAAUUGUACAUGGCAUCUUCAAAUUUAAUACUCGUUACUCCAAGGUUUCCUUUCGACCACUUCCGAUUAAACUUAUGUUUAAAUCACCCAAUCUAUUCUUAUUAUCGCUAUAAUUAUUGUGUUCUGCGAAAAUCCACUUACCUAUAUCUACAACAUCAAGCCUUCUUCCUAAAUACCAUAAGCAACUUUUCUAAUCUUUCUUUAUUACAUCCCUCUCUUGAUUUUACACCAGCACAUCUAAGGUAACUAAACAAACAAUGUUCAAACACAACCUAAGGUAUUCCACAACAACUAUAUUUCACAAGUAAGGGGAGAGCCUAUGACCCUCUAAUUAUCACAAGUGCAAUAAACCAAGUUACGUUCAUCUAGUUAUAUCAUAAGUUGUCUUAAGCUAUUUUCAUUUAGCGCUAAAUUUAAACAAAACAACCAUACAGUCAAUGAAUGAAUGUUAUGAACAAUGUAUCUGUAAUGACCCUUCAGGACAUUUUUCAUAUUUUUGCUUAUUUCAGCCGAUUGCACUUCUCCAUAGAUGCCCCAAGUCAUUUAUGACUUGCUGGGACCGACGGUUCGGUUACCGAGCGAUUUAUUUGUUUUUUAGAACCAAGAAGUCCUCGCUGGUUCUAAAUGGCCACCAGGCAAAAAAUUUAGUGAAAUGAUCUCGAAUACAAAUUUCGACUGCACCAACACAUCAAAAAUAUCAAUGUUAGGAUAGGUAGACCUUUGGUUUUGCUCGGGCUCAUUUAGACUAAUCCUUAUAUUAUGUUCAAAGAUAAGUUGUAACAGUGUAGUUCCGUUGUUAUUUCACUUUUGUACUCUUGUGAUAUUAGAACCUCUUGUAAUGAUACCACCAGGUUUUGAAAUUAUUCUACGUUUUGAUCUUUAUUUCAUAUAUUCUAUAUUUUUUUUCUUAUAUUAUUGAGUAGUUCGUUACUAGAUGUUCUGGACUAUGGGUUGGCUUGCCUACUGGUGAGUUAUGGUAGGAGCCAUCAUGACCUGAGAAAUUGGGUCGUGAAUAAUUGGUAUCAUAGCCUAAGUUUCACUGGUGUGUUAGUACAAGAGCUAAGUUUUAGUAGAGUCCGACGAAUUGGUGCGGAGACGUCCGUAACCUAUCUUCGGGAGGCUACAGAGACAUUUUAGAAAAUUUACUUUGUUACUCCUUAUCAUGUGUCCGCAUUCUUGUAAACCUUAAACACAUUCUUUGACUCUAUUCUAUUCCCGAAGAAUGAUGCUACCUCAUCGAUAGAUGUAGAUAAGACUUCAACACACGUUUCAAGAGUUUUAGCACAACAUUGGAUAAGAAAGUCAGAGAUGGAUAUUGAAGAUCUUUAGCAAUAACCAAAAAGGAUUUGGGCCAACUUAGGCUCUAGGUGAGCUUGUGACUACUUCAGCCUUUGAGGUUCAGCAUUGGAAAUUCGAGUCAUGUUGUAGAUCCCUCUCAGCCAUGGAUGACGUUUGAUUCAUCGAGCAUUUCUUAGACCAGAGUUAGGUUGAUUGGUGUUCAUCAGGGUUCUUUACCAAGUUUUGAGUAUGAGCUUGGAUUUCCUAUGUGGUCCAGGCUUUUUCCUAUGCUACUUUCUUUUGAGCCGAACAUUGGUGCAUGGAUGUGUUAGAGGGUGAGUAUUCACUCUGUUUGACAUCGGAGCACUGGAUAUCAGCUGGAUUUUCCUUCUGUAAGGAUAUUGAUUAUGAAUGAACCAUAGAAAGCACAAGUAUUGAGACCUAUGGAAAUGGCUGUAAGAGGCAUGCCAUUGUAUAGUGCUACUGGUGUUUUAUCUGAAAGUAAGGAUCCUUUUGGUAGAGUUUAGCUUCGACUGUAGCCCAUCAACUCUACAUAGACAGUAUUCCAUACUAUGAGUAGUUCUUAGAUUAGUCGUGAUGAUCAUAGUGGGCAGAGUCCCUAUUAGACUUGCGGAGUGUGGUAUGGUUCCUCAGACCAUGGUAACCAUUUUAGAUUAUGAGGGGCAGUUUCUCAAAGAAUUCUAGGAUCUUGGUUUGAUUGUGUCAUGAUGAGACACUGGUUUAGAGGAUGCCCCAGAUGUGAGAUAGAUGAUCUGCUAGAGUUAACAUAUAUUCCCCGACAGCCUAGAGUUUCAGAGAUAAGCUAUGAUUUCGGAGGUAUGGACAUAAAUUUUUGGAUUUCCCUCAACGUUAGUUGGUUAGCCAUUUGGGUUCCGUUGGUGUUCUCUCCAUAUUGAUGCUUCAGGAGUUGCCACGACUGUAGAGAGACCAACUAGUAGUCUAGAGAGUGUCUCCAACAUGGGAAUUUCUAAUUAUUUAUCUUAUUCAGAUCAACCACAUGAUGUUUUGGCAUAUUUAGUUAGAGGUAGUGUAUGUGGCGCCUUAGUUGAUGAUUCAAUCGGUCGGUUCGAGUUGAACCCGUUCAUAUUUCUUUUCCCCUAUGCCCGUCAGGCAUGUGGUUGUGGAUGUCACCACGAUUGGUGUGUUUUUAUUUCCUGCAUUUAUCUCUUAUUAUGUGUAUUGGGGUUUUCAUACCUAUUGAUUAUUAUAUACCUUGAUGAAUUGAUAUCGAUCAUGAUGUGCCUUAUUAUUGAAUUCAUGAUUAUGUUACUACUCUAUGGUUUACUUCUUUUAGUAGUGGAUGGAGUACAUCUAUAUUGAAGUUUUCCCCUAUGAUUGUGGUUUUUGUGUUCGAGUCCUAUUUAUCUUGGCAUAUUAGCCAUAUUGUGGCCCUUGAGUGGUAGAUGAUAUUAGUGUUUAUUUUGGUACUGCCUGUUCAGUAUAUUGAUUUUAAUAUUGUUGUUGCUAUUGCUACCACUACAGAGGUUAUUGAUAUUGCUUGAUGUUAUUACUUGAUAAAAUUGAUUCUUGUUGGGUAGCUGUAUAAACUAGUGUUAUCUAGUUAAACUUUCAUCUUCUUGUGAUAUUCUUCGGUGGCUUGAGUAGACAUAACCCGAUGUGAUAAUUUCUUUCCCCCUAGCAUGGUGAGGUUGAUUGUGUUCUCUCUUGGUUAGCUGUAUUAGAUUGAUUCAGGGAUGUAUCAUGAUAUCGAAGGUAGGUUGACCUUUUAUGGAUCUGUUAUGACCCUAGAGUUGGCAAUUUAGUUAUAUUGCUUAUUAUUUAGUUUGACAUCCUUAGGCUUGCCUUCUGGGUUGCGAAGGUUUUCACCUUGGCUAUUCUUUUUGAUAUAGCCCGUAUUAAGCUUGACCAGUUUUUGGGUUCGUUCUUCAUUUGUGGCUACUUCAUCGUCCGAUAGAAAUUUCUUAUGUUGAUGUUGAGAUAUCGUGGAUUCAUCUCAUAGGUUUGCUGGGUUUGUUCCCUUACGAUGGUUUGCCCUGUUGUUAGUGUGGGGAUCUGAUACUCCUUUGUUAUUGUGAUAUGGUUUUGUCUAGUGGAGUUGGAAAGUUAGAGGUCGGUGGCCUUUCUUGUAUUUGUUUCUUAAGUUGGCAAAUUAGAAACUUCGUAGCUUGAGUUGUUGGUUCUCUAGUGGUGGUCUCGACUUUAACCUUGGUUUUGAGAUUGGUAUUUCUGAUUUGAUGAUGUGAUUUUCAUGUGGAUUCAGAAAUACCCCAUUUUAGAGUUUGUAUGACCUGAUGAGGCUUGGUGGAGUGUUUUUCCUUGAUGGUAUAUACCUGUGGCUAUUCAUUGCUGAGAUGGAGUGUUAGAUUGAUUAGUUUUCAGCUAAAGUUGCAUUUCUCUGAGUUGCUAGAGUUUUGCCUUUACUAGUGUGGUUUUCAACCUUGGGAAGUUUUUUAGUAUGUUUGGAUAGUUCAUGCCCUUCAGAAGAUAUGGAGUAGGUUAUUUACGUUUCCAGCCAGUGAUUUACCCUUUGGCAUGAUUUCUAUUUUGUGCUAUUUUUUGUGCUCUUCAGCUGACAUAGAGUUGGUCACUUGUCUUUUAGUCGACGGUUAUCCCUGUGGUGGUUUUUUCUCUUUAGAUGUCUCAACUGUAGAUUGGUAUGAGUUAUCUAAAAAAUAUCAGAUCUGGAUACUAGAGUUGAUUUGGGGUAGUUGCCAUUGAUAUAGCCUUAUUGGCUCAGUAUUGAUUUGACGCCUUGGAAUGGCGAUUUAGAGGUAUGAUAGAUUGGGAGCAUUAUUGCCUACCCGUCUUUAGGUUUGGUUUGGGUAGUUGAGAUUGAGAAAUUUUGCCUUGGUAUUGAGAUUUUAGCUUGGUGUUGUUGAGCUUGCGUGCAACUUUUGUUUUAGACUUGUCUUUGCUCAGAUUUCAUUUAUAGGUUAGUUGAGCCUACUCCAUGAUUGCCUUUUCGGUCUUCUCGAAGUCAGAUUACAAUUGAUAAGUGUUCAGAUGAUAGACCAUGGGCUCCAUAUUGAUUAUUUUCACUUUGACCUUGAGUUUCAGUUUUCUUUGGGAAUUUUGGAUGAUUUUCUCAAUGGGAGUAAUAUACUCAAGUUGGAUCCAGUAUGGCUUCGUUCUCGGUGAAUGAGAUAUUCUGAAGUGGAAUAUUCAGUGAUGAGUAGUGAUACCUUGGAUUUCGAGAUCUUAGUUUAAUUUUUAUUCUGGACUAGUUGCAGCAUUGGCAUGGAUUGCAUUCCUUGAUUAUCUCCAUUUGUGUGCCUAGACAAUGCCUUAUGAGACUAUCCCCAUUUCUAUCGUAUAAACUUUCAGCGGGUCAGCUUCAGUUCUUUGAGUUCUCUAUGAUGAGACUGGAUGGGCGAGACUCAAUUGAUUUUCUUCCUGGCUUGGAGUAGAUAGCAUGUGUAAAAUAGUAAAGGAAGGUUAUAUUGGGAUUUGGAUUUGGUGGCAUGACUCAUGACUUAGGUUGGCUUUGACUCGAAUGAGCCUUUGUUGAUGUGGUUUUGAUGUGCGUGCAUCAGUCUUCUUGGUUCAGUUUGAGGUCAGUUAGCGGUUAAGUUAAGUAUUGGCUAUUUGGAAGAAGAAUGACAAUGCUAGUUUAAAAAAGGAUAGCUGUGGCAAAAUCUUUUAGAAGCAUUUUCUCUCCAUUGAGGUUCUCUGGGAAGUCAUACUUUGAGCAUGCGGGGUAUCUCAUCCAUUUGAGCUUUUGAUAUUCUUUCUAUUCGUUGACUUUUGGGGACGAAAAUCCUUUUAGUAAUGGAUAAUGUAAUGACCUUUCAGGUCAUUUUCCAUAUAUUUGUUUAUUUCCCCGAUUGCACUUCUCCAUAACUUCUCCAAGUCUUUACUGGUUCCAAAUGGCUACUGAGUGAAAACUUCAGUGAAACAAUAUCAAAAAUUUAGGUGUGGGACCCACAUUUGAUUAAAACAUCCUUGAAUUGAAAAUUCGAGUUUGCCAAUGCAUCCGUAACGUCGAAUUUAGUGUGUUUGCCUAUUUUUUUUUUUGCAAAAAUUGGAUUCCGAAUGCAUCCCGAGUCAUUGGAGAAACUUGGAAUCAAAUUCCAUGUUGCAGCUGUCAUAUAGUGCAACAAAGUACCAUGAUUGCGGAAGGAGACUCCCAAUCGCGAUGCCGCGAUCGCGGCUAGUGUGGGUGCACGAUCACCCUAGCUGAAGGCCUAGGAAGGGUCAUUUAAAUACCUAUUAUGGACGAGAAUUGGCCAUCUUCUUCCUCUAUUGAGACCUAAAAACCGUAAUAUGGUGUGCUAAUCACAAAUUGGUCAUGGUGGGGGACUUGGGAGCUUAAUUGUCAUCUUUUAUCGCGAUUAUAUUUAAAUUUAAGGUAAAAAUCUCUUGAAUUCAUGCUUGAAUUUCCUAGUUUGGACCCAAAACACCAAUUUAGCUUAGGGCUUCAUUUUAGCCCAAAGUAUGCUUAAUUUUCACCCAUUUCUUGAGGGUUAUGAUUUCUUGUUCAUGUGUGAAUAAUGGUUUGGUCUCGAAAACUUAUUUUUCGUAUGUGGGACCCACAUAAAGUUUUGGUGUCAUUUUUGGACCCAAGCACAAUAGUGCAAUAUGGGUAUUAUUAGACUUUAUUGAUUAGUAGAUUGUGGUUUUGUUAGUGUGAUGACAUUUUGAGGAUUGUAAAGCAAAGUCGAGCAUAUGGUGUAUGAUGUGAGAUUUUGUGGUUUGACUUUGAGGUAGUAUUCUGUCUACUUUGCUUUGUAGAUGAUGUGUGAUAUAUAUUAGGUGUGAAUGUGGAUAUUAGCCUUGAUUGUUGAUGUUUGGGGAUGAGAUGAGGGUUUUGGACCCGUAAGAUGGUAUGUUUAUAAAUCUUGAGAAUCCUACUGCCUUCUCCGUAGUUUAGAUUAGUUUGUAUCAUGGAUACGAUAUGAUGCUAGGUUUGGGAUACGGUUUUAGCAUUGGAAGCAUGAUUAGCAUAUUUUAAUCUUAUUGGACUAGUGUGAUAGUAUUGAAAUCUUGAUUUGGCUAGAGUUUACUUAAAUGCCCUUGUUCCUAGACGAAGUUCCUAUCUUAGGAUUGAUUAUGGACUACUUAACAUCUAAAAGUUGAACUAGAUACCUUAUCCUAGUUUUGGGCAUAUUUUGCCUAACUAUGGAAAUUGAAGAUUAGAAGUGGGAUUGUCCGGCCUACUUAGGCCAAGUCUUGUGGACCUAGUUGUGGAUGUUAGGCAUGGUUGAGACUAAUAAACCUUAGUAUAAGGUUACUCCGUGGCUUAUUGCAUGAUGAUGUAUUUUCCUCGGAUAAUGAUAUUUGGGCCUAUAGAGAUAGUACUUUCUUCUUGAUAUGACAUCUGGCCUAUAGAGAUGUUAUUCCCUCUUAGAUGUGUGUCGGACCUAUAGAGAUGCUAUUCUCUCUUAGACUUGAUAUUUGGUUCACAGAGAUGAUAUUUCCUCUUAGACAUAACAUUGGAUCCUUAGAUAUGCUAUUCCUCUAACAUAUGAUGUUGGCCCUAUAGAGAUGCUAUUCCUCUUUGAUAUGAUGUUGAGCCAAUAGAGUUGCUAUCUCCUUUUAGAUAUGAUUAUGGGACCUAAAGAGAAGAUAUUCCUCUUAGAUAUGACAAUUGGCCGAGAGAGGCGAUAUUCGUCAUAAGUCAUGAUGUAUGACCUAUUGAUAUGAGAUAUCUUAUAGAUGAAUACAUGUUUAUUGAUGUUAUGCCUUUACAUGAAAGAAUGCUGACUUAGGUGAGAUGAGAUAUCUUUAGGUCAUGAAAGCUCAGGGAUUAUAGUACAUCUUCCCCUUGGGAUAUUAUGUCCUUUAAAGAAUGCUGACUUAGCUGAGAUACUGAUGAAAAACUGAGAUGAUGCACAAAAACCUAUGAAUCGAAUCGUGACUGCAUAUCGGGGUUUUGAAACCAAGGCAUGAUACCUUAACUCAGAUGAACUCCCAACCGCAUGGUUGCUCGAUCUUGGAAUAGUUAUAUUCAUGAGACUUCGGAUAAUGCGACUAGAUGGAAGGAUAGGAAACCCAACCAUACGAACAUUAUCCACUUAACUGCUAAACUGAAUUGUUGGUUUUGCGGACUAACUUAUGCUGAAAACUUAUAUUCGACUGGAGCCUUUCUUUGACACUCUUUCUAUAGAGUUCUAGUCUCUUCAGGGAGCAAGGAGUCUUGGCAUGGAUGAAUAAAAUAGCUGAAUAAGAAAAUCACAUCCUGGCUAAAAUUUCAUAAUAUGAGUCAGGGCCUACGAAACAUAAUUUAAGAUGAAGUGACUAAGCCUUAUGCACUGCGGCUACAAAUUUUCAAGCUUAGACUUAUCCCUUGAAUACUCUCCACCUUAGUACAGCACAUCACCUGAGACUAUUAAAAAUAUUCACAUGGGUGUUAAGCACGAAUGCAUAAACUUACUAACUUAUCUGAUUAUCUGAAUAGCUGAUAGUUGAAUACUUGGUCAUGUAAUAUUGAACUAUACUUAGUCUGAAUAACUGGACUGGAACUGUAGAGUAUCAUGCAUACGAGUUAAGGACUGAAUGGGUAACAUGAGGUAACUGAGCAUGAAUUCGUGAAAACUGUAUUAUUUGAGAAGGCAAGACCAAAUGUAUAACAUGACUCUGAAAUAAUCUGUAAACUGAGGUACUAAAAUAUAGAUAACUGAAUAACUGAUAAUUGUACGCUAUGGGUCAAGCAAAUUUGAAACUGAUCUGAUUACUGGACUGGGACUGGGACUGAGACUGUAACUAAGACUGCAACUGAGAUUGUACUGGAACUGAAUACUGGGUUCUGAUAACUCUACCUUCUGAGGCCUGUUCUGGACUGAGUUCUCCCACUAUGUUCAAACCUACUCUACUCUCCGAAAUGCAUUUAGCCACUUACACAUCAACAUGACAUUUAAGCCUAUCUUCAUAGAUAUAGCCUCGUGUAAAACUAGCAUGAAAUAAUCUUUUCUUAACAUGAAACAUUUACUCUCUCCCUUCUAAGCAACUGCUCAUCACUACAUCAUUUUGUAAAGAGAGUCCACUGAAGGAUUAAAACAUGAGAACCUGAUGUAUGCGUGAAUACUAUACCAAACUCGACACUUAACUGAGGUCUGAGGAAUAGAAUGUCAACACCAUGGAUUUAUCAAAAGAUCUAAACUGAGGAUAUGCAUGACAAAAUCUGAAUUUAGCCGAUCGCUAGGAGUGUAGCAUGGGUCAAGGGAACUGAGCAUACUGUAUAGCGUGGCAUGGGUACCUGAGUCAUGAGUUGCAUGACCUGAGUCUGGAAUUUCUGUAUUCAUGGAACAUGAUUCGUAACACUUAGUGAACUGGAACCCCUUAUACAAGGAACUGUAAGCGUGCAUGAUUGCUAACGUGCACGAGUAAGGGCUAUGAUCAUAGAGCUGACAUGUAAGACAUAAAUAGAUAUCAUGAUAACUGAUGGGUUUUGAGAGUCUGGAAUACGAUUCUGAGAUGAUCUGCAUGAUUAUUCUCGCUACGAGAAUAGGCAAGAAUGUCAUCUAUGAAGACUGACGAAUAUGUAUAAGUACUACUUGAACACACAGUUCAUCAAUUCCAUGAAAGCGAAGUAUGAUUGGGAGCCCGCACAUCUGAACCUAUGAUAUAAAAUAUCAUAGCACAAAAGAAAGGUAUGCGUUAGUACUUUGAAUGCACUGGUAUGAAAAGUGAGGUAGGCUGAAAUGCAUGGGUUCAUAUGCAUGAACAAUACUGACUGAAUGACAUGAAUAUAACUGAAUGGGAGUACAUGCAUGAAUACGUAUACUAUAAUCUGAGGUCGUGAUAACACUGGAUACUGAGUUCUGAAUUACUAAUUUACUGAAAUCUAAGUUUACUGAUACUAUAUAGAUGAUAACUGAGUGAUUGUAUUUGACAGUAUUGAUCUUGUGGAACUAUACUGAGUUUUGUACUGAACUGAGUGACUGUAUCUGAUAGUCCUAAAUCUGUAGAAUUGAAUAGAGUUCUAUUUUGAGACUGGAACUGAAAUUGAGAAUGUGGGAGGUAAUCAUCUAACCGACAUGUGCCUUUCUAAAUAGAUCGAAGUCCAACCUGUAACUCCAGUUGGAAGGAUGUCAGUACCGUACCACGGGUAAAGACAAAUAUGAGUUAACCCUCUCUGACAGAAAGCUCUUUCGUCAACCCUCACUGGUAGGAAAACUCGUAUGAGAUGUAUCAACCCUAGUUUGGCAAAAAAAUAUCUCAACCUAUGCUGGCUACAUAGUUCUAUAACACAGGGAUUGCUACUAAGGAUCAAACCCUCAGCUGGCAAGAAUACCCCAUCCCUGGGUUCGGUCGGUGCUGAAUCCUACUCCUAACUGAAUAGACACUGAAUUGAUUCCGAGUUUAUACUAGGCUUGACUGAACUGUUACUGAUUAUACUGUCUAACUAAACUGAACUGAGUUCACUGAGUUCCGUUGACUGACGAAAUACUACUGAAUUUUGUUAACUAACUGAAUUUACUGAGGUUUAAACUGAAUACUAAACUGGACUAGACUGAUACUGAGUCUACUGAGUUUUUCUUGAGUUUUGUGACUGACUGAGAGUACUACUUAUCGUGACAUGACUGAUACUAUCCUGAGACUGACCAUGACUCUAGGUAAUCAGGUAAAUUGUCGGGUAUUAAAUACCCCCAGGACUCGAUAGCAUAAAUUAUAAGACAUGACACAAUCUUGAAACAUGAUAAAUAACUACUUGAUCAUCAUUCAUUUAUUGGGACAUUCUACCAAACACUUACAUGACAUGAACUUGAAUACAUGAUAACAUGAUAUAAUUUGAUUAUUUAAUUCUCAUAAACAACUAAUCAAACACUUGGAAGGCAUUGUAUAUUCACAUAGUACUAUCAACACAUGACCAUCACAAUUUCAAGGCUUUAACAUGAAUUCACAUGAUACUAUGUACAUAAUAGUUGUUUUUACAUAAAUUUUGUACUUAAUCAUGGAAUAGAAGUCCAAUCAACAUUAUAAUCAUGAAUACACUUGAAGCUAAAUCAUGGAAAGCAUGAAAUCAAGCUACUUGAAGUUUAAAAGAGUUUCUUGGACUCCAAGGGUGGAAGGAACCCUUGAAUGAACACUUAACAUACCUUGGUUGCUAAAUUCUUAAAGAAAAAUGAUAAAAUGUUGAGCCUUGGCUUUGAAAUUAAAUCACCUAGGUUUUUGUUCUUGAGCAAUUUGAGAGAAAGAGAGUAUAUUUUGCUCAAUUAAGGCUGAAUCUCAUGUUUUAGGGCUGAAUAGGGGUGGGAAAAAGACCAAAAUACCCCCCAAGGAUGCGUAUUUUAAUGACUUAAAACUGGACUGUUGACACGUAGGACAACGCAUCGCGUCAUUGGCAUCGACGCGAUAGCCAACGCUCCAUAUCGAGUCCGCAUCGGUUCACUGGGAGUCAAGAAAAAAUAUUGAUUGACGCGAUGGUCAAUGCACCGUAUCGAGAUCAAUUGAUUAACUAUUUUAGAUUCCCAAAUGUGGUUCAAAUGAGGUUCAAAAAAUACAAAACUCAUCCGGGAACACCUACUGACAUUCCUGAUCAUGAAUCAAUCUAAAGAUCAAUACUUUAAGGUCAAAAGAGUCGUGAAAUAGAGUUUCCAACUUACAAAGGCUGAAAUAAUACUAAGUCUGGAUACUUAGCUAGAAUUUUCUAAGUAUGGGACCCCUUAGCAAGUUUAAAAGACUGAGUUGAGCUUAGGAUUUUGCGGGGUCUUACAAUUGGGUAUUGACUACUUGUUAUACAACAACUAGUUUCUAUUCCAUGAAUAAGGAUUAUGUGAAGGAUAAUGUUAAGUCUAAUAAUUAGAGGUCAUGUAAAGACUAGCGAACUAGUGGUUUAAUGAUAAUAAGCGUUUGUUAGCUAAUAUCAAAAAGUUAGGAAGUAAAUAAGUGAGAUAUUUUACGAAGAUACGAUUAUGAUUAUGAUUAUACUAAUAGGUUUGUAGAUUUAUCCUUUUUUUUCCAUGUCUUGAGCCAUGCACUUAUUAUAUAUUUGUAAAUAUAUGUGUAUUGAUGUUUAUGUUGAUAUUGAUACAUGGUAAGACAUGAGGAUAUUAUGAUGAUAUAGUGAUACUUGGCAAGGAUAGAGAAUAUUAUGAUGAUAUAUUGAUACCCAUGAAGGCCGAAGGAUAUUGUAAUGAUGAUAUAUUGAUAUCCAACAAGGUCCGAGGAUAUUAUGAUGAUGAUAUAUUGAUAUCCGGAAAGGCCAAGGAUAUUAUGAUGAUGAUAUUGAUACCCAACAAGGCCGGAGGAUAUUGUGAUGAUGUAUUAAUACCCGACAAGGUCGGAGGUUGAUUACGCUGAUGAUGGUCAUGAUGAUGAUAGUUAUGAUGGAGAUGGUUAUGAUGAUGAUAUUUUUAUAUUGAUUGUGUAAUUUUGCAUUCAUUCUUGCAUGCACAUUGUCUAUCUCCAGUAUGCACCUAUGUCUAUCAAUCGGUAUAGGACGGUUGCAUAUAUAUAGGUGAAGAGUAUGCCUUGUAUUAUUUUAUAUUGAUUGAACCUUCCGAGUCUGGGGUGGUGGGGGUAUGCAUAGGCUCGACUAGGUAUUUGGUUUUCUAGAGUAGUCGAUUAUUCACACUGUUAUUGAUAUUGUUAUUAUCAUUGUUAUGAUCAUUAUUAUGGCUAGCUUAUGACAGAUUGGACAUUAAUCCGGUAUCGAGAUCUAAGGGAUGUCUACGACCUCUUUUAUCUUAUGAUGGUACUAUCAUGCACGAUUAUUUCAUGUCUAGCCAUAUGGAUUAGAAACCCUGAGUAUGAUAGUAUUAAAUCUUGAUAGUAUUAUAAUGAGGUCCUAGAAUGAGGAUAUGAUGAUUAGGUUAUACUAUGAGAUGAACUUAUUCUUAUAUAUAUAUAUAUAUAUAUAUAUAUAUGUAUAUGAAGUUAUGGCACUACCGAAUAUCCCUUCCUUCAUUUGUACAUACUGUAUAUUGUUUCUUGGCCUUGUAUAUUGCUAUAUAUACAUAUAUCUUCCUUUGCUCUUCAUUCGUAUAUUGACCUGGGAUAUAUGGUAUAGUAUUGACGUCUAUUGAUUAUGGCUGGAAUAUGAUAGUUCACUCUGAUACUUCCUUAGUCUUAUUAUGUUAACUCUUGGAAUUGAACAUGAUAGUUGUACCUUAUUAUUCUUAUUGACUUGUUAUGUGAGUUCUGGACUCUUGGGUGUAGUUUCCAUCUUGUUUAUAUGCUAUAUAUAUCUGCUUUAUCUUUGGAGAUCAGUUGGUAGUUUCCUACUGAGUACCAUUCGUUUGGUACUCAUACUACACUUCUGCAGUCUGCAGAUCAUAGUACGGGUUAUCACCGUUAAUUUGUGCAUUAUGCGGAGCAACUAUGGAUUAGAGACUUAUAGUGAGCUCCUAACGUUCGGAGUAUUACUUAUCUCUCUCAUAUGUAUUAGACUAGUCUCUAAGUUGUAUCAAUGUAUUUCUCCUUGAUAUAUCAUUUUUGUACUCUUAUUAUGUUUAGAAGCUCUUAUACUGAUACCACCACAUUUUGGGAUUCUUCUAUGCAUUGAUCUUUAUUUUAUAUAUUCUGCAUUCUUUUCUUUAUAUUGUUGAGUAGUCGAUUACUAUUCGUUCCAGACUACGGUUUGGCCUGCCUACUGGUGGGUUAUGGUAGGCUUCAUCAUGACCUGAGAAAUUGGGUGGUGACAACAUCACAACCAUCAACCUGAUUAUGAAAGUGUACACAUAUAGUAAGGGGUCUUAUAUGCUUAAUACUCCUGACUUGCAGGGGACAAGCAUAGUCCAUAUACUUUACCAGGAUGGUACCUGAUCCUCUGAAUAUCAUGAUGUAAGAAAUACAUAGUGGUGUGGUACCCGACCUUCUCGAUAUUAUAAUAUGUGAACAUCUCAACAAAUAUCAACAAUACUAUGAUGAAGGUGCAGGAAAUAUGCCAUACCAUAAUUUAUGUGGAUACUUGGUCAAAUUCAAGGUUAAUCAUUUAUAUGAGUGAAAUCAAUUCACCAAUCAAAAGUAUGCCCGAAGGGUAAUUCACACUUAUUCAACUCAUAGAUAGGUAGGAAAAUCAAAUUAAGUCUAUAACUAUAAUUUAUACCAUAACCUAUAUUCUAGUAUCCAUCCAUUCUUCUUUAGUACGAAUUGAUCUCUAUAUUCCAAAGAAUACCUAAUAGACCUUCAUAAGAUAACAUGAAGGGUGGGAAGAGAGUUCUAUGCUAACCUCCGCAUAUUGAAGUGGGCUUCCUAACCCUUCCAUAUUUUUAAAAGGUAUGAAUAUCCCAAUUAGAGUUGAGAUUGUGAAUGAGGUGAUAGGGAUACUGAGUCACUCAAACGAUCCUUACAUGGCGAAGGAGAUUGAGAGCGACAAUGCCUAGCUGGCUUAAAUGUUGUUGGUACCAAAUACAAUAGCCUCCACUGCAUAGGUCUAUGCCAAAAAGGCCAUUACUAGUUCAAACUUCAAUGCUGAAGCUAGGCGAUGGUUGAACUUGGUUUCUUGGAGGAUUUUCCCCUCCUUGAAUGUAAUUGAUGUAACAUUCAAGCAACCCUUAGUGGUUGGCUGUGUUAUGGAUAUGGUGUGGAUGAAUGUGGGAGAGCAAAUGGUAGAGGAGUGAAAUGACUUCUAAUAUAUAUAGAAAAACAUGUUUUUGCAGGAUCAUGUACUGAAGGAGGCAGAGGAUGACUGGAAUAUAUGUUACUAGGCCUUCGACCAGUUGAAGGUAAAUGUCCACUAGUCAAAGAGAAAGAAUAAAAGAAAGAUUGGUAUAGAUGAGGAGAGCAGCAGGAACCAAGAGGGUAGAGGUUUGGGACCGUUCUCCCAUAAUUGUCCAGGCCUUUUAGGAAAUUAGACUCAAACUUGAUGCAGUAAAAAGAGAUGCUAUUGAUGAUGCACAUGCCUCAAGCGGGAUUUAGUUUAUCCAGCGCCACUAUGGGUCUCACUGACCUUGUUGCUUCUUAUGAUUUCUCGACUGAGGACCACGUAGAGCUUUGAAAGGACUUGGAUAUGGAGAAAAAGAAAAGGCAUUCUCGAGACUGACUGCUCAUCAAGGUAUAGAAGGGAUUAAAGAUUCUUGCAAAGCUAUUUUCUCUAGACAAAAAGAAUCCCAAGGUAAGAAUGUCAGAUGCAUAUGAGUUUUAUUUCUUGAGCGGAAUUGACAAGGAUGGUUCUGAGGCAUCAAGCCUCGAGGUUGAUGCAGAGAGAUAGAUCACUUCUUAGAAUCCCCACCCUACCUUAUUAUUCCGCUACUAUUAGUUUUCUUGCCCUUGCAUGGGCUUUUGAUGAACAUCUUUAUUUUUUGUCAUAUUUUUUGGAUAAUUUCAAUGCAACUUUUAGUUGAUUUUUGGUGUCGUUGGUCGCAUAUUUUAACAAUAAACUUAUUUGUAGGCCCCACUUUUAUAUAGUUGUUUUUAGUAUUGUAAAAUUGUGUGAAAAUCAAAAAGUUCAAAAAAAAAAGGUUGAGGACUCCAUGCAAGACACUCAUUGACUUGUUACUAUUGUAGCGGCUCUCUCAAUCACUACAACGGUACCAUUAUGUUGAUAAAGUGUCCGCUAUAGCAGUCCUCAACAGUUGGGCAUAAUGACUAUGGAACUGCUAUAGCACUCCAAUUGCAGUGACACCCCCUCCACUGCAACAACUCUUAACCAAUAAUCUAGGGGGAAUUUGGUCUUUUCUUCCUCUUUGAUGAUAUGAAGAUGCCAAAAUAAAAUCCUUAUGGUCUCCACCUCAUCCAUGACAAACAUAACUACCUAUUAUUGGAUUAAUCUAUGACAAUUAUAAAUUAUGACUUACCUUAACUGAUUAUUUAAAUCAAUACUCACUCAUUACCUCACCACAUAUGAACAACAAGUUCUAAUCUAAGAUACAACACCUAAAAAAAAUUAACGCAUAAUUCCAUCCCAUUAAUUUCAUUCGAAAUUAUAUAAACUCACUUAGCUAAAAACAAAUAACAUCAAGAUAACAAAGAUAAAAAUCACUCAAUUAAACUGAUGAAAGUCAAUACUAACCUACCACACCUAUGCCUCUUAUUUGUAUACAUUAUAUAACACCCUCAAAAUUCUGAGAAAUUUGUUUUUGGCCCUCCUGUGUUUGAAACAUCAUUUUUUAACUCAAAUUGUGAUUAGGCAUGUGAAUGGGGUGUCUCGAUUUUGGAAUUUUUGAAUGGGGUUCGAGGUUGUUUUGGACCACAGAAUCAGUGAGCCUCUAAGAUAUCCCUAUUUCAUGGAGGAUAAUCUCCGCGAUAGGGUCCAUGACAUGGAGGAUAAUCUCUAUGUUAGGGUCCGUGGCAUGGAGGUUAGUCUCUGCGAUAUAGUCCGUCCAUGCCCCUAUGUAAAAUUUGUGCAGUUUUGUUUUAUUUACUUGGGAUGAGGGGUAUUAGGGUCCUUUCACAUAUGUACGACCCUUAAGCAUAAUAUAUCCUGUCACCUUCAGUUUUAAGAGAUUAUUUUCCCCAUUUACACCCUCAAACUCAAAGGCCCAAGAAAGCAUAAGGAUUUUAUCCUAUAUUCUUCCUCUAGGUCCCAAGUUCCAAAUUACUUUCCAAAUCUUGUGUAUCUGAGGCAUGUUACACUCCCCCACUAUUAUUUUAUCAAAUGCAUAUGUUUAUAAUUGUAUCCAUGUGAUUAAAUUGUGGUUUAUGAAUAUGGGUUUGAAGAUUUUGAAAUGCAUGUACCUUGAAUUGAUUUCCAUGAUUUUAAUGCAAUUGUUCAUGCUUUUUUGUCAUGUUUUGAACUAACAGGGUGCAUGGGUGUGGGAAUUGGAAUGGUGGUCGAGGUAUUCCCCCAAUUUGAUGAUUUUGGUAUUAAAUUUGAUUUGGAAAUCGUGUUCCCUCAACCCAUUUGUGAAAUUGUUCGAAAUAUGGUUUUUUCACUUGGUUUGACUUGCUCAUCUAUUCUAUUACAUUGCACAAAUGGUUAAAAGAUUAAACAUGGAUUUUGAAGGCCUCGUUGGCCGUGUUUUGACUAAAUUUGAAACCUAGGGGUCGAGCCAUUCCCCCAAGUUGAUUUGAUAAACUAAAGGAGGUCGGGGCAUUCCUCUAACUUAAUUUAAUAAACUAAAGAGGGUUGAGGCAUUCCCCCAAGUUGAUGAAAUUGUAAUGGCAUAGCUCUACACUUGCAAGUAUAUCGUAUGACGAUACCUGUGGUGUGCCUUAAUGUAUAAUUCCAUGGUUAAUGAAUGAGUUAUGUGAAAAUUGUUUUAAAUUAGGUUUAAUAGGGGUUAUAUAGUUAAGAUGUGAAGGUGUGGGUCUUGGAUGACUUAUACUGGAAACUCAUGUUUGCCAACAUAAGGUUUGAUCUUGAUGACCUGUGUGCAUGAUUCACAAUAUUGAUAUAUUUGUAACUUGGAAUAACGUGGGGUCAGGGCAUUCCCUGGUCUUCUUAAUACCUAUGGUUCGUGUGGCAAAUACGCAUUGGGGCCCUUUCAACAGGGAGAGCUGAACCCAUAUAGCCUGUGGGUGCCUUUUAUGACGUUUGAGCUACAUAGUCCAGGAUAAAGUUUUACUUUAUGCUAAGCCUUGUUCCCUUUCACUGCAUGUCAUGCUUGUAUAUAUAUAUAUAUAUACAUAUUGAUUAUGUGCAUUAGCUUUGAAUGAUUUUGAAAUAUUAAUCAUGGCACUAUUUAAUCCAUGUUACCUGAGUUACAUGCUAGUGCUUAUCCCACUAACCAUCUCUGGAUGUUGUAUCCCCACACAAUGCAGGAACUAGAAAUACUUAUACUUUUCUUACAUAGUGACUAGGUUAUCAUGGGAGAGCUCUUGAGUCAGAUUAAAGUGGUGAGCUUCCAUGCUUUGGGAGCCCUCAUUUCAUAUUUUGGUUUCCUUAUGUCAUAUACUUCCUCUUGGUUUAGUUUUGGCAUCCUGAGCCGGGGGUCUAUCAGAAAUAGCUUUACUACCUCUUUAGAGAUACUGGUAUGGACUGUGUAUAUUUUACCCUCCCCAGACCCUACUGUGUAGGAAUACACUGGGUUUGUUGUUGUUGGUUUAGUUUUGGCUAUCGUCGGGGGCAUGUCCCAACUUAAAUUGAUUUGGUUAUAGUUAGAGGCUUUGUGGAUUACUGUUGACUUGGGAAUUGUUGUUGAAUUCUUAGACUUCUUUUAAGUCAUACUUAUAUACCUCAUUUUAUGUUUGGAAUUCGGCUAUUAUAUCAUAUUGUGUUCUGGUUGACUAGGCGAAGGGGUGGUCUCCGAUUCUUGAUGGACUUGAGAUACCUAUCAUAGACAGACUGGUUCAGGUCGUGAAAAAGUUAGUGUCAGAGCCUAGGUUCAUGAUCAGUUGGGAUUCCACAAUGUCAUUUCAAGUAGUCUCUUUUAUAGGUGUGUAGCAUGCCAUAAUUAUAAGAGAGAGGCUACGAGAUAUUUAGGAAUGUUUCACUUUUUUGUGAUCUACUUUCGAGCUAUAAAGUCUAGGGUGUUGAAGUCUCCUAUAAUUCCCAUUUUUUCGCUUUUCAUAUCAUGCCUCCCAGAUGAUCUGAAGCUCUGGUAAAUACAUCUGUCCCGCCUGAGGACAAUGUAGGCAAAUCUCGUCCAACUUAUGGAGUAUAGACCCAGUCAAGAGUCGCUGCUUCUGAUUACCCCCAUGGAGUUCCACCUAUCUCCACCGAUCCUUCUUCAGCUGGUGGUACGCGUACUCAAUUACCUCAGGGAGAUAUUACUAAUGUUGAGUUUCGCCAAUCCAUUCAUCUGUUGACCCAAUUGGUGACAUCUCAGUCACGUCAGACUGGUCCUGCUGGUAUUGUUGGGAGUUCAUUUGAGGUUACAUGAGUUGCUCAGUUUAUGAGGUUGAGCCCUUUAACUUUCUGUGGUACUAAGGUUGAGGAGGAUCCUCAAGGUUUUAUAGAUGAGAUAGAGAAGAUCUUUCGGGUUAUGCAUGCUACUGAUGUAGAGGGUGUGGAAUUCUCUACUUAUCAAUUGAAGGAUAUAGCGCAUCAAUGGUAUGAAGAGUGGGAUCAGUCUUGGGAUGAUAAUGCAGAGGUGGUAUUGUAGGAUAACUUUUCUAAUGCCUUUCUAGAUCGUUUCUUUCCUCAGGAGUUGAGGGAGGAAAAGCAGAAGAUUUCGUGAAUUUGAAGCAAGGAAAAACAAAUGUAACGGUGUAUGCAUUAAAGUUUCAUCAGUUGUCCCAUUAUGCUCUGGAGUUAGUAUCUAGCAUGGGGGCUAAAAUAAGAAAGUUUACUUCUUAGUUAUCACGUGAUUUGAUUUUGGAGAGCAAGGCCACCUUGUAGAAGAAGGAUAUCGACAUCUCUAGACUUAAGGUUUGUAUCAACAAGUUGAAGAGAAAAAGAAAAAGCAAGUAGAGAUGGGGGGAGAAGCAGAGUACGAAGUUUUCGUAUUCAAAUUGGAGUGAAGGUCAGCAGAAUGGUAGAGAUUGAAAAUGGUAUAACAAAGUGGGGUAAUUUGGGUUCUUAUUUGACGACCAGUGCUCUUUAUCCUAAGCUAUCCGGUGGUCGCCACCUUCAAAGAAAUAGUGGGUUUAAGGCACAAGGUGCCCAAUCUCAGGCUAGUGGGUCCCAGUAAGCUCCAGUAUAUCUUUCUUAUAGAUUUUAUGGAUAGUUACACCGUAGAUUUUGUGAUGAGAGGAGGAAUAAAUAUUUUAGAUGUAGUAGUCUGGCCACAUUUAGAGGAACUAUCCUUUAGGUGAUGUUGCUACAAGGAAUAAUAAUGUCCCAGUUGUUGCUUCUUUGGUUCUUGCUCUAAGGGGUGCUAGCUUUGGCACUAGUCAGAACCGUCUGUAUGCUCUUGCCACCCGUUAGGAUUUUGAGGCAUCUCCUAAUGUUGUUAUUGGUAUGCUAAAACUCUUCUCUUGAGAUGUAUAUUAUCUUCUUGAUUCAGGGUCUACCUUUUCUUAUGUGACCCCAUUUGUGGCUAUGCAUUUUGGUUUUGGUCUCAAGUAUAUUUCAGACCCAUUUUCUGUUUGUACCUCGGUGAAUGACUCGGUGGUUGCUAGAAAGUUCUAGAGAGGUUGUGUGGUAUUUGUUGGUGCUAAGGAAACUUUGAUGGAUUUGAUUGAAUUAGACAUGCUAGAUAUUGAUGUCAUCUUGGGGAUGGAUUGGUUGUAUUCGUGCUAUACCUCUUUAGACUGUUGGACACGUAAUGUAAUUUUCAAAUUCUCUAAUGAGUCGAUUAUUGAGUGGGAAGGGAGUUCUCUAGUGCCUAAUGGUAGGUUCAUAUAAUAUCUUAGAGCCCGAAAAUUGAUUUCCAAGUGGUGUCUUUAUCAUUUGGUCCAAAUUAAAGAUUAUAACUCAGAUGGUCCUUUGUUGCAAUCUGCUCCCGUUGUUAGUGAAUUUGCUGAGGUUUUCCCUGAUGAUAUUUCGAGCAUUCCCCCAAUAAGGAAAUUGAGUUUUGGAUCGAUCUUCUUUCGGACACUCGUCCAAUCUCUAUUCCUCCUUAUAGAAUGGUUCCAGCCGAGUUGAAAGAACUUAAGGAACAGUUAAAAGAUCUUCUUAACAAGGGUUUUAUCUGUCCUAGUGCUUCUCUGUGGGGUGUUUUCAUUCUUUUCAUACAUAAGAUGGAUGGUUCUCUUCAGAUGUGUAUUGACUACCACCUAUUGAAUAAGGCGAUAGUGAAGAAUGAGUACCCUCUUCUUAGGAUCGAGAAUCUAUUUGACCAGCUUUAGGGUGCUAAAUAUUUCUCUAAGAUUGACCUUUGAUCGGGUUAUCAUCAUUUAAAGAUUAGGGAUGAUUAUAUCCCUAAGACUGCCUUUCGUACCUGAUAUGGACAUUUUGAGUUCUUGGUCAUGUCUUUUGAGUUAACCAAUGCCCCGAUGGCAUUUUUGGAUCUCACGAACUGGGUAUUUUGUCAUUUUUUGGACUUGUUCAUAAUUGUGUUUAUAGAUGAAGUUUUGGUAAAUUCAAAGAGUAAAGUGGAUCAAACCAAUCAUAUUUGUAUCGUGUUACAUACCCUAAAGGAUCAACGUUUGAUGCUACGCUUUUGAAGUGUGAAUGUUUGUUGAAUGCUGUCACUUUUUUGGGUCAUGCUGUUUCUAGUGAAGGGAUCAUGGUGGAUCCAUAGAAAGUUUUGGUGGUUAAGAAGCAACCUAAACCCAUGACUUAAAUCAAUAUUCAAAGCUUCUUGGAUUUAGAUAGUUAUUAUAGGAGGUUUGUGGAAAGCUUCUGGUCGAUUGCCGCACCUUUGACUAAUUUGACUUAGAAGAAGGUAAAGUUUCAUGGUCCGAUGUUUGCGAAAGGAGUUUUGAGAAACUGAAAGAUAAAUUGACUUCUGCUCUGAUUUUGACUCGGCUUGAUGGUACUGAAGACUUCGUGGUUAUUGUGAUGAGUCCCCUGUGAGACUUGGUUAUGUGUUAAUGCAGCAUGGCAAGGUGGUAGCAUAUGCUUCUAAGAAGCUGCAAGUUCAUGAGAGGAAUUAUGCAACUCAUGAUUUGGAGUUGUUGGCUAUGGUGUUCUCAUUUAAGAUUUGGAGACACUAUCUAUAUGGAGUACAUGUUGAUAUUUAUUCAGAUCAUAAAAUUUUGCAAUAUGUAUUCACCCAAAGGAGUUGAAUAUCACGCAAAAGAGGUGGCUCGAGUUGCUUAAGGGCUAUGACUUGGGUCUCCAUUAUUACACAGGUAAGGCUAGCGUAGUUGCUGAUGCUCUUAGCAGGUUAUCUAUAGGGAGUUUAUCCCAUGUGGAUGAAGAGAAAUGAGACUUGGAAAAAGAUAUUCACCAUUUGUCUAAUCUUGGUGUUCAUCUUUUAGAUUUUGAGGAUGGUAGUGUGUUUAUGCAAAAGGUAGCAAAGUCAUCUCUUGGCACUGAGGUGAAGGAGAAACAAGUGUCGGAUCAUAUCUUGAUGCAAAUCAAGGAUGAUGUGGGUAAGCAAAAGGUGAUGGAUUUUGAUAUUGGUGGUGAUGGUAUCUUGAGGUAUUGAGGGAGGUUCUGUGUUCCCGAUGUGGAUGGGCUACGAUGUAGAAUUUUGGCCGAAGCUCAUGAAUUGCAUUAUUUGAUUCAUCCUGGCUCCACGAAGAGGUAUCAUGACCUUAAGGACAUUUAUUCGUGGAAUAACAUGAAGAGGGACGUGGUUAAUUUUGUGGCUAAGUUCAUGGUGUGUCAAUAAGUGAAGGUGGAGCACUUGAGGCCCAGUGGGUUUUCUCAAAAGAUUGAGUUGCCUGUGUGAAAGUGGGAAGUGAUUAAUAUGAAUUCUGUUACCGAUCUUCCGUGGUCUCGUCAGCAGUUUGAUUCCAUUUAUGUCAUCGUGGAUAGGAUAACAAAGACUACUCACUUCUUGCCGAUAAGGACUAAUUAUUCUGCUGAGGACUAUGCAAGGUUAUUUAUCCAAUAGAUCAUGAAGUUACACGGUGCUCCAGUUUCCAUUAUUUUAGAUCAUGGUACUCAGUUCUCAUUUCAUUUUUGGCAGUUGUUCCAAUGAUGUUGGGGGACUAAGGUGAACCUUAGCACCACUUUCCACCCGCAUACAGAUGGACAAGCAGAAAGGACCAUUCAGACUUUAGAAGAUAUGUUUUGAGCUUGUGUAAUUAACUUUGGUGGUAGUAGGGUUGACCAUUUUCCUCUUGUUGAGUUUGCUUACACUAAUAGCUAUCACUUUAGCAUUGGUAUGGCUCCGUUUGAGGCAUUGUAUGGUAAGAGGUAUAGAUCACCAAUUGGGUAGUUCGAAGUUGGUGAGACAAGGUUUUUCGAUCCUAAUUUAGUUCAUCAAGCCAUGAAGAAGCUGAAGGUGAUUCGGGAUAGGCUUAAGAUAGCCUAAAGUCUCCAAAAGUUCUAUGCAGACAUUACGCGAAGAGAGUUGGAAUUUGAUGUUGAUGAUCGGGUGUUUUUGAAGGAGUCUCCUAUGAAGGGAGUAAUUCAAUUUGGAAAGGAAAGCUUAGAACUGUUACGUUAGCCCCUAUUUGAUUUUGAAGAGAGUGAGGAAUAUUUCCUAUGAGCUAGAAUUGUUUGCAAGUUUGGGUUGUAUUCACCCUUUUCAUGUCUGUAUGUUUAAGAAAUACGUGGGUGAUCCUUCCUUGGUGGCGCCUAUUAAGAGUGUGGGCAUUUCAAACUCCUUGUCUUAUGAGGAGGUACCGAUUGAGAUACUGGAUAGGCAAGUCCGUCGUUUGAUGACUAAGGAUGUGGCUUCAGUGAAGGUUCUAUGGAGAAACUAAAAGCUCAAGGAAGUUCCUUACUUGGAAAGUCAAAGAGGAUAUUAAGUACAAGUAUUCAUUCUUGUUUCCUGUUUUGGGUAACAGUGCUUGAGGAAUAGGCUUCGUUUUCAUCUUGCUACUUUCUGAGUUUUUGUUUUUUAUUCUGGUAAACUCUUGCUAUUUCUCGUGCCAUAAGCGUCCUAGCUCAUCAUUUGGGGAAGAAUGAUCCUUAGGGGCGGAUAAUGUAACCCCUCAAAAUUUUGAAUAAUUUAUUUUUGGCUCUCCCGUGUUCGAUAUGUCGAUUUUUUACUCAAAUUAUGUUUAGGAAUGUGAAUGAGGUGUUUCGAGAGAGUUUCAGAAUUUUCAGAUGGGGUUCGGGGCGGUUUUGGACCACGAAGUAUAAUCUCUGCGAUAGGGUCCAUAACAUGAAGGAUAAUCUUCACGUUAGGGUCCAUGGCAUGGAGUUUAGUCUCCACGAUAAGGUCCAUGCCUCGCCCUUAUGUAAAAUCCAUGUAGUUUUGUUUUACUUGGGAUAAGGGUAUUGUGGUCCAUUUACCUAUGUAUGACCCUUAAGCAUAAUAUAGACUAUUCUCUUCAGUUUUAAGAGAUUAAUUUCCCCAAUUACACUCUCAAACUCAAAGCCCCAAGAAAGCAUAAGGAUUUCAUCGUAUAUUCAUCCUUUGGGUCCCAAGCUCUAGAUUACUUUCCAAUUCUUCAGUAUCUAAGGCAUGUUACUCUCCCCCCACUAUUAUUCUAUCAUAAUCAUAUGUUUAUAAUUGUAUCCAUGUGAUUAGAUUGUGGUUUGUGAAUAUGGGUUCGAGGGUUUUGGAAUAAAUGCAUCUUGAAUUGAUUUCCCAUGGUUUUAAUACAAUUGUUCAUGAUUUAUUUUCAUGUUUUGAACUAAUGGGGUGCAUGGGUGUGGGAAUUGGAAUGAGGGUCGAGAUAUUCCCCCAAUUUGAUGAUUUUGGUAUUAAAUUUGGUUUGAAAAUCGCAUUCCCUCAACCCAUUUGUGAAAUUGUUUGAAAUAUGGAUUUUUCACUUGGUUUGACUUGCUCAUUUAUACUAUUGCAUUGCAUAAACGGUUAAAAGAUUAAACAUGGAUUUUGAAGGCCUUAUUGACCGUGUUUUGACUGAAUUUGAAACCUUAGGGGUCGAGGAAUUCUUCCGAGUUGAUUUGAUAAACUAAAGGUGGUCGGGGCAUUUCUCUAACUUGAUUUAAUAAACUAAAGAGGGUCGAGGCAUUCCCCAAGUUAAUGGAAUUGUAAUGGCGUAGUUAUAAGCCUGCAAGCUUACGGCAUGACGAUACUUGUGGUGUUCCUUAAUGUAUAAUUCUGUGGUUAAUGAAAAGGUUAUGUGAAACUUGUUUUAAAUUGGGAUUAAUGGGGGUUAUGUAGCUAAAUCGUGAAGGUGUGGCUCUUGGAUGACUUAUACAGGAAUCUCAUGUUUGCCGACAUAAGGUUUGGUCGUAAUGACCUGUGUGCAUGGUUCACACUAUUGAUAUAUUUGUAUCUUGGAUUGACGUGGGGUUGGGGCAUUCCCUGGCCUUUUUUAAUACCUUCGAUUUAUGUGGCUAACACAUACUGGGUCCCUUUCAGCAGAGGAGCUAGACUCAUAUACCCCGUGGGUGCCUUUUAUGACAGUUGUGCUACAUAGUCCAGGACAAAAUUUUACUUCAUGCUAAGCCUUGUUCCCUUUCCCGCAUGGCAUGCUUAUAUAUAUAUAUGAUUAUGUGUGUUGGCUUCAAAUAAUUUUGAAAUAUUGAUCAUGGCACUAUUUUAUCCCUGUUCUCGGAGUUAUAUGCUAGUACUCUCCCACUAACCGUCUUCGAAUGUUGUAUCCCCACACGAUGCAGGAAUCGAAAAUACUUGUAACUUUCCUUUGCAGUGACUAAGUGAUCGAGGGAUAGCUUGUGAGUCAUACUGAAGUGGUGAGCAUCUAUAUUUCAGGAGUCCCAAUUUCAUAUUUCGUUUUCCUCAUGUCAUACUUUUCCUUAAUUUAGUUUUGGCUAUCGUCGAGGGCAUGUGAAUUAAUGUGGACUUGGGAAUUGUUGUUGAGUUGUUAGACUUCUUUUGAGUCAUACUUAUAUACCUCGUUAUAUGUUUGGAAUUCGAUUGUUAUAUAUUAUAUUGUGUUCUGGUUUACUAGGCGAAGGGGGUGGUCUCCAGUCUUCGGUGGACUUGAGAUACCCGUCACGGCCAGUCCCUGGUUUGGGUCGUGACACAUUAGUUAAAACAAACUAUUUCAGCUUCUGAACGCCAUUGAGAUACCAAUUUAGACUGACUAGGUUCCAAUUGCAGUUCUAGAGACACUAAGUGGAAUCGUGUAGAUACCAAUUGGACUUAACCCAGGUAGACAACAACUGAGGUAGCAUGAUAGAAGACAAAAAAGAGAAUGAUUCCUAGAUGCCUUGUAACCCCUUUGAUACUUGAUGUGGAUGUCAACACACAAAUCUAUAGGACUCUACUCAGCAAUUACUCUUGUACUUGUGAGACCGAUAACAUAGGGCUCUAUACCAACUAUCACAACCUAAAUUAUAAAAUUGUGCAGACACCUACUCUAAUUUAGCUAGAUAGGAGAACCCUUACCACCUAAUCAGAUAUACAAAAAUAAACAUAAUUCUUUUAGGCAAUCAUUUAAUAAAGUUAAACAAGUAUAUAUUCAUUAACGACAUUCUUUACAACUUCAGAAAUAAGCACUAUGAAAGACGUAGCCUAGACAUGUACAAGAACUCCAAAAUAAUGACAAAUAAGGACACAACUUCCACCGUACGAAUAGAAUGAGUAGCAGUUGCUGGUGAAUACUUGCAACAUCAAAUGAAGAACCACAAUUGAUCUUGCAGCAUAUCCAUAUCCCAAAAAGGGGAAAUAACAAUAGUAUUAGAAAAACCACACGUACAGGUAGGCAUCAUCGACCAACCAAGGUUAGAAACACAGACAACAUAUAUAAAAUUAAGGAAUUAUAUAUGACAUCGUCAAAUUUAAUACUCAUUAUUCCAGGUAUCCUUUUGACCGCUUCUAAUAAACCUUAUUUCUUAAAUCACCUAAUACAUUCCUAUUAUCGCUAUAAUUACAACGUCCUACGACAAUCAGCUUACCUGCCUUCAACAUCAAUCGUUCUUCCUAAAUACCUUUGACAACUUUUCUAAUCUUUCUAUAUUGCAUCCCUCUCUUGAUUUUAACCAGUACACCUAAGGUAACUACACAAGUGAUAUUAAAACACAACCUAAGCAAUUUCAUUAGUAGGGAGAGCUUAUGACACUCUAAUUAUUACAAGUGCAGCACACAAAGUUAUGUUUAUCUAGUCAUUUCACAGGUCGUCUUAAGCUACUUCUAUUUAGCAGCACAUAAAAACAAGACAACCAUACACUCAAUCAAUGAAUGAUACAAAUAAUGCAUGAUGACCAUCAAUUCAAUUAUGAAAGUGUACUCACAUACCAAGGGGUCUUAUAUGCCUAGUAGUUAUUACCUGUAUAGGGCGAGCUCAGUGUACGUACCAUACCAAUGUGGUAGCUGACCCUUCAAGUAUCAGGCUGUAAGAAAUAUGUAUUGGAAUAGUAAUCGACCCUUCAGUUAUAACAAUAUGGUAACAUCUCAACCAAUAUAAACAAUACUAUAAUAGAGGCGUAAGAAAUAUGUCAUAACACAAUUUAUCAAGACACUCUGUCAAGUUUAAGAUUCAUCAUUUAUAUGAAUGAAAUAAAUUACCAAACUAAUUCACAAAUCACAAGUAUGCCCGAAGGCUAAUUCACAAUUAUUCAAGUCAUGGAUAGGCACAAAAUUCAUAUUAAAUUUAUUGCCGCAAUUUAAACCAUAACCUACGUUCUUAUACCCAUCUAAUCCACUUUUUAUAAUCCAUCUCCUUAUUUCCGCAAAUUCAUAAUAGACCUUUCAUAUGUCCUUAACCUAUGGACAAAGCACUUAACCAAUUAUAAACUACGUACAACUUACAUGUUGUUACUAUAAUUUUGUACCUUACUUAACUCACCUCCGGGACUUGAUUUCCCUUACCGUAAACUCUUUCAAUUAAGAAACCUUCUGCUCUAAUCAAACACUACUCCACUAUGCUAAAUUACAAUUAGGACACGCAUAACGACUCCAUUACUUUAAUUUACGCUCACCCAUGAUGAAACUACCCAUCUCUCACUAUUACACACCUGUUUACGUCACGACUCUCAUAGUUUCAAGAUUACCUCAAGUAUUACCACUUAACUUCUAACUACUGCCACAAUAUUCAUUGUAAAAGCGUAAAUAACAAUAUUAAGUUCCCUUCACACUUCACAUGUUGUUAAUCCAACCCAACUUUGUGCCCAAGGCCUAAGAAUGAUAUCUCCCAUCAAAACUAUAAUUUAUAUAUAAUUAACCCAAGGUAGAAAAUUAACCAUAACCUACCUUGUUUUGCUGAGCUACUAUAUUUUGGAGUGCAUGAAUCUGAGUUCCUUAAUUCUUGUUAUACCCCAUUUUAACACGGGUCAAACCGAGGUACAACAUAUUGGAAACCUCUAAACAAAAGUCGUCACCGAAUUAGUUCUACGGUGAAUUAGAAUAGGUGUUGUAAACUAAGUGAUUAAAAGAAAGGCAAAAUGAUCUUCUGGACCCCUGUACUAGGUCGGUUUUGUAAGUUGGACACUUCUACUUACAUAUUUGUCAUCUGGACCCCUGAACCCACUAAAAUAUAUUUUAAACACAUUUUGGAAGAGUGUAACACACUCUCCCAUGUCACCUGCCACGUCACCUGCCACAUCAUUUUUAGGUAUUUCAUGAAAUUCCAAGUCAUUUUUAAAAUGCUACAUGACAAAUUAAGUAUUAAAAAUAAUUUAAUUAAAUAAAAAAAUUUAAAAAUGGUAGAAAAAUUUAAAUAAUCAUAUUUUUAUUUUUGCUCACAAAUUAAAUAUCAAAUUCAUUCCAAAUAAUUAAAAAUUAUCUACAAUUAAUUUAAAUUUUUAACUAUAAAUUCAUAUAUACAAACAUAAAUGAAUUUUUUAUUUUUAAAUUUGAAUAUCUUUAACAAACAUAAUUAAAUAAAUUAUUUUUAUAAAUUGUAGAAAUUCUAAUACACAAACACAACAAAUUUUUUAUUUAGAUUAAUUUAAAUUUUUUAUCUCUUGAGUCGAGGGUAUAUCAGAAAUAGUCUUGCUACUUCUUUAGAGGUAGUGGUAUGGACUGCGUACAUCUUACCCUUUUCAAACCCCAUUAUAUGGGAAUACACUGGGUUUGUUGUUGUUGUUAUAAUUUAAAUUUUUAACUAUAAAUUCUAAUACACAAACGCAAUAAAUUUAAUUAAACAUCAAAUUUAUUCCAAAUAAUUGAAAUUUCUCUCUAAUUAAUUUAAAUUUUUAACUAAAAAAUCACAUACACAAACAUAAUGAAUUUUUAAUUUUUAUUUAAAUAUCUUUAACAAUUUGUAAAAGUUACAAAAUUAAUCCUAAACAAAAUAAAAAAAUUUAAAUUGAGAACAACAACAAUAAUAUCUGCCACAUCAAUGAACAACCAACAACAAUAUCAAUGGUGAUGGUGAUGAACAACAACAACAAUAUCAACACAGCAAAGAGACUUGAACAAAAAAAGGCACAAAAAAACCAACAACAAUAUCUGCCACAACAAUGAAUAACCAAUAACAAUAUCAAUGGUUAUGGUGAUUAACAACAACAACAACAUCAAAAAAACAAAGAGACUUGACCAAAAAAGGCAAAAAAAAAAAAAAAAAAAAAAAACAAAGACCCUCUUCAAGGAUUGCGUAGAAAUCUGCCAUAUAUGAUGAAGAAAAAGAAGAAGAAGAGAGAGAUAUUUACAUGGUGAUGGUGAUGGCUAUGGAAGCCAUUGUUGUGGGGGUGAGGGGACGAAGAGAGUUAUAGGGGUGGAGGACGUUAAUGGUGAUGCCAUGGCAGCCAUGGCUGGACGGGGGAUAGGGGACGGGGGUGAAGGGUGGGGUGAGGAUGGCUGAAUGAAAGAAAGGGGUUGGACGAGGGUGAGGGGGUGGUUGGAUAGGGGAGGGGGUUGAGGGAGAGGGGCUGAGGGGUAUGGUAUUUGCCACAUCAAUGAACAACCAACAAUAAUAUCAAUGGUGAUAGUGAUGAACAACACUAACAAUAUCAACACAGCAAAGAGACUUGACCAAAAAAAGAUUAAAAAAACCAACAACAACAUUAUUUGCCACAACUAUGAACAACCAACAAUAAUAUCAAUGGUUAUGGUGAUGAACAACAACAACAAUAUCAAAACAGCAAAGAGACUUGACCAAAAAAGGCAAAAAAAAAAAAAACAAAGACCCUCUUCAAGGAUUGCCCAGAAAUCUGCCAUCUAUGAUGAUGAAGAAAAAGAAGACAAAGAGAGAGAUAUUUACAUGGUGAUGGUGAUGGCUAUGACAGUCAUGGCUGUGGGGGUGAGGGGACGAAGAGAGCUAUAGGGGUGAAGGACGUUAAUGGUGAUGCCAUGGCAGCCAUGGCUGGACGGGGGAUAGGGGACGGGGGGGAAGGGUGGGGUGAGGAUGGCUGAAUGAAAGAAAGGGGUUGGACGAGGGUGAGGGGGUGGUUGAUGGAGGGAAAGAAGGCUAUUUUUUUUAAAUUUUAAUAUUAUUUUAAAUUAUUUUUAAUUAUUUUAAUAUAAAAUUGACCAAAAAUUAACCCCCACUCGCACCCCAGGUGCAUGACUACACUCUCAUUGUCCUAGUCAGCCAUUUAAUGCCACAUAGGCAAAGUCAACAGUCAAAGGAUUUGAAAUAUUAUUUUUUAGUGAGUUCAGGGGUCCAGAUGACAAACAUUUAAGUAGAAGUGUCCAACUUACAAAACCGACCUAAUACAGGGGUCCAGAAGAUCAUUUUGCCUUAAAGAAAAUAAAGACUUCAUUUUAAGGUCUUCUUAACUAAACGAUUCUUGUUAAGGAGGUUAGAUAAGAAAAUCAAAUGUUAAAUUAAGAAAAGAUAUAGGUAAAGUGUAAAAUAUAUAUCUUACCAUAACAUACGCUAGUUAUUUUAUAAGAAGAAAAAAAAUUAAAAACAUCCUUGCCGUAAAAUUUACUUAUCCAAAUAUUACCAAAAUAACUUUUUAUAAAAUCUCUUAACAAUGACGUAACCAUAUUUUGUCAAAAAGAAAGAUAUUUAAAAUCAUUUACUUGCAAAAGUUUUCAAUUAAAAAAGUUAAUUAUGUUAAAAACUUCACAUUUUUUUUAAUUCUAAGAAAAUGACUCUUUUGCCUUUUUUAAUCAAACUUCAUAACAAUAGGUUAGUUAUGCUACACUAAAUGAAUAGCUAAACAACUAGUUAUCUAAAUCUACAACGACAUAAGGAUUUAUUUAUUUUUAUUAAGAAAAGGGCUUAUGGUUUAAGAAUAUUUUUUAGUCGUUUGAAAUCUUAAGAAAAGGCCUCAUGGAAUCAAAUUGAAAAGUACUAUCUUUUAUUUGAAAUUGAUGAGAGAAGAGAGUUGAUUUAUCAUAUCCAAAAUUAGUAAAGGCGAUUUUCCGAGUUUAAUGAAAAAACUUAUAUUUUAUUAAUCAAAUGUUACAAAUUAGUGAAGAACUAACUUGAUCCUAAGGAUAGACUACUAAUUCGUAUUAAAGAAGUAUUAAAGAAUACUAAUAAACUCGGACUUUAUUCUAAAAUAUAUGUUUUAACCUAUCAAAUUUUAAUCAUUUAACGAUAUAAAUUAAAUAGAUGAGUCUAGCAAUUAUGAUAAAUUUAAAAUCUAAGAGGUAGAAAGGAAAUAAUUAAGUUCACUCUUAAAUUAAGAAUUAACGUUAAUUCAAAUAAGAACAUAUGAAACACAAUUUCAAAAUAAUAACGUGUGAAAUGUUAAAUGAUAAUAAUAACAAGUAUCUAAAAAGGAAGAAAUAAGCUAGCAAAAGGGAAACACUAGACUGCUAGAUGAAACACAUAACGGUCUAUUGUCGCUUGUAACACCCCGUAGUUUUGUUCCACUUGAUUCACCUAGAGGCAUGUGUGAGAGGCUAGUAACUUAAAAAUACUGCUAAGUGUAAAAAGGGACUUAGUCAUUUUGAGCUCCAAAUCUUGACGAUUCUAUUUCCGACCUUUCCAACCCUCAAUAGUUGAUAUGUUAGCUAGUUUAUGAUCCGGAAGGUCAAUAGGUGUUCCCGGACAAGUUUCAAAUUUUUUGGACCGCGUUUAGAUGUCGUUCGGUGUUCCAAAAUAGUCGACCAACGUGAUCUUGGUGCGCCGCGUCGCCCAUCACGUUGGUCAAAUUUUGUGCAGGAAAAGUACUGAGGCUCGAUGCGGUAGAGGCGUGAUACGUCGAGUAUCGUAUCUCUGCCUAUGACGCGCCGCGUCGCCUACAUCGUCGAUGCCCAGUUAUUUCAGCUUUUAAAAAUCCGCGUGCUUAAGGGCAAUUGGGUCAUUUUUCCUUAUUCUAAUACGCUCCAAACACGAGAUUUAAAACACCAUAUCAGCACUUUAGGUAGGUUUUCAUAAAAAUAACUCCCUUAACAUCAAAUUGAAAACCCUAACCCCAUCCCCUAAGAUCAAGAGCUCUUUCCUUCAAGCCAAGAAUUUUUAGAACUAACUUAUGAUUCGGAAUCAACUCUUCCUCCUAAACAACCUAAGGUACGUGGGGUUUAUCCUAAAAACUACAUAGGUUGUUGAAACGCUUGAACAUGAUUUAAAGUUUAUCAAGCAUGAAUUUUAAAAAGGGGUUUUGAAAUCUAUGUUUUAAAUUAUGCAUUUUGAAUGUUUCAAUGCUAUUAUUGAUUUGGCCUUUAGGCCUUUCCCCCUUAAAUUGAUUUAUUAUUUUGGAUUUACUCUGCGUACCAGUACAACUAUAUUGAUCCCCUACCUCUCAGGGUCUGAGGCUCAAUUUAACGGUCCGGAUAAGCAGUAGAGAUUUCAGAUAGAAGCAAGCUGUGCAGUGGUGAGCCUUCUUUGUUUCAAAAGGCCUGCUUACUUCAGACUAUGUCAUUUAUUGUGUUUUGGGUCUACUGGGGGCCUUGUCCCAGUUUUCAGACAGUUUUCAUUUUAUCAUGUAUUAGAGAUUUCGCAGACUGGUUCAGAUAUUGUCUAGUUGUUGUUGGGUUUUAUUUUCCAUUUUUAAAUUUAAUUUAGAAAGACCAUGAUUUCGUAUUAUAUUUCAUUCCGCAUCUUCUUUUAUUGUAUGAGCAUUGUGCAUGACUACCAGAUAGAGAGGGGCAUCCGGGCAUUUAUGGUUCGGGAUGCUCGUCAUGGCCAGGGCCUCAGUUUGGGCCGUGACAAACUUGGUAUCAGAGCACGAUUCAUGGUCCCAAGGUGUCUGCGAAAUUGCAUCGGGUAAAUUCUUGUUUAUGGGUGUGUAGCGCGCCACACUUAUAAGCAAGAGACUACUAGGCGUUUAGGAAUGUUUCCCCUCUUUGUGAUUUAAUUCGUUCUUUGGAGUCUCAUUUGUCCUCUAAUCAAUGAUCUCUUGCAUUUAAAAAAAAACGACCAUGCCUCCAUGCCGCUCUAACGAUCAGAAUGGUCAGACUAAUGAGGUCCGGCCCACUCACUGGAUGAGGACACACAAUAGAUCUCAGACUCCGAAAGUUGUUACUUUGGGAGUCCCACCUACUCAAACCAGCCCACCCAGGGCUCCUCGAUCAGGGACUAACCAUACCCAACCUCAUGAGAGAGAGGUGUCUAAUGCAGAAUUCAGGCAAUCAAUACAUACGCUUCGCAAGUUAGUGGCAACACAGACUCAACGAUCAGAGGAUAUUGGGUCUGCACCUGUUACAUUUGAGGCUACUCGGGUGGGUCAGUUCAUGAGGAUGAAUCCACCCAAGUUUACUGGCACCAAGGUAGAGAAGGAUCCACAGGAGUUUGUGGACGAGAUGGAGAAGAUUUUCAGGGUGAUGCAUGUCGAUGAGAUGGAAGGGGUGGAAUUAACAGCUUAUCAGCUUAAAGAAGUUGCAAAUCAGUGGUAUAGUGAGUGGGAAGAUUCGAAGGGUGAGAGUGUUGAGCCCACAAUAUGGAGCAAGUUCGUGGAAGCCUUUCUAGAUCGAUUCUUUUCUCUAGAGUUGAGGGAGGCCAAAGCUGAAGAGUUUAUGAACCUAAAGCAAGGAAAAAUGAGUGUCAAGGAGUACACUUUAAGGUUCAACUAGCUAACCCGUUAUGCUCUAGAGUUGACUGGUAAUAUGAGAGCCUGUAUGAGAAAAUUUGCAUCCGACCUUUCUGAUGACUUAGUGCUUGAAUGCAAGGGGGAAAUACUAAGCAGGGACAUGGACUUCUCUAGACUGUCAGUCCACAUACAGCAAGUAGAAGAACAGAAAAGGAGAAUCGCUGAAUUUAAGGAGCAGGACAGACAGGCCAAGAGGGCCAAAAUAGCAAACCAGAGCCACAGUCAGCCGCAGAGGGGUAAUUGGGGUAACAAAUGGUAGAAGAAAAAGUUUUGGGGUAAUGCACAGUCUGUAGCCAGCGCCCCAGCACCCAGACCCCAAAUUGACCGACGAUUUCAGAGUUUUUGGACUAAUCAUGGACCCAGGGCACAGGAUACACAGUCGUAGGGGAGCGUGGCACAGUCUGCAAGAUCAUAUCCUCGAUGUAACUGAUGUGGAAGGAACCACCUAGGGAGAUGUUAGUUUGACACCAUGGUAUGUUAUUUGUGCAGCCAACCAGGCCAUAUCCAUCGAGAAUGCCUGACAACAAGAGGUAAUGUUGGGGGAACUAAGUCACAUGAAAAUUCUUCCGCACCACCGCUGUCUCAGAAGGGCGCCACUUCAGCUGUCGGGAACGGUCACAACCGAUUGUAUACUUUGUCAAACCGCAAGGAAGCAGAGGCCUCACCAGAUGUAGUCAUUGGUAUGUUACAAAUUUUCUCUCGUGAUGUAUAUGUUUUACUUGAUCCCGAGUCUACCUUGUCCUAUGUGACCCCUUUUGUGGCUGUUGGUUUUGGGUUUGAACCCGAUGUAAUUGCAAAACCUUUCACUGUUUCCACUCCAAUGGGUAGUUCGGUUGUGGCUAGAAAGGUGUAUAGGAAUUGUGUUGUGUCUGUUUAUAGUCGGGAUACUGUGGCAGACCUCAUAGAGCUUAAUAUGGUUGAUUUUGAUGUCAUCUUAGGAAUGGACUGGCUCCAUUCAUCUUAUGCCACGCUAGACUGUAGAACCCAGAACAUUACUUUUUCUUUUCCGAAUAAACCGGUGAUAGAGUGGGAUGGGCAUUCUUUAGCACCUAGAGGACACUAUAUAUCUUACCUUAGAGCCCGUAAACUCAUCUCCAAGGGUUGUUUGUAUCAUCUCAUUCGGGUCAAAUAUUUAAGUACCGAAAGUCCUUCUCUUCAGUCUGUCCCUGUGGUAAAUGAAUUACCAAAAGUAUUUCUCGAUGAUCUCCCAGGAAUACAACCUGAUAGGGAGAUAUAUUUUGGUAUUGAUUUAUUACCAGACACCCAUCCCAUCUCUAUUCCGCCAUAUAGAAUGGACCCUACAGAGCUGAAAGAGUUGAAAAAAUAGCUAGCAGAUCCUUUAAACAAAGUUUUUAUCCGUCCUAGUGUUUCUCCCAGGGGUGCACUUGUGCUCUUCGUGCAAAAGAAAGAUAGCUCCCUGCGCAUGUGCAUAGAUUACCGUCAGAUGAAUAAGGUCACUAUUAAAAAUAAAUAUCCUCUUUCUAGGAUCGAUGAUCUCUUUGACCAACUUUAGGGUGCUAAAUACUUUUAAAAGAUAGAUCUGCAUUAGAGAUACCAUCAGUUAGAGAGUCAGAUAUUCCCAAAACAGCUUUUCGAACCCUAUACGGUCAUUAUGAAUUCUUAGUCAUGUCCUUCGGAUUGACUAACGCCCCUGUAGCAUUCAUGGACCUUUCUAGAUCUAUUUGUAAUAGUUUUCAUUGAUGAUAUUUUGAUUUACUCUAAGAGUGAGGAGGACCAUGCCAGUCACCUCCGAAUCAUCUUUCAGACCCUCAAAGAUCAUAAGUUGUAUGCAAAAUUUUUCAAGUGUGAAUUCUGGCUUAAUGCUAUUGCUUUCUUGGGGCAUAUUGUGUUAGUGGCGGGAUUAAGGUUGAUCCCCAAAAGGUUAAGGCAGUGAAACAAUGGCCCAGACCCACGACUCCAACCGACAUUCAGAGCUUCUUGAGUUUGGCAGGAUAUUACAGAAGGUUCGUAGAGAGUUUUUCUUCCAUAGCUGCUCCACUUACUAAGUUGCUACAGAAAAAGGUGAAGUUUGUGUGGUUUGACUCCUGUGAGAAUGUUUUGAGAGGUUAAAAAACAAGUUGAUUACUACACCUGUUUUGACUCUUCCGAAAGGUACAGAGGGUUUUGUUGUGUACUGUGAUGCGUCCCAAGUGGGAUUUGGGUGUGUACUUAUGCAGCACGAUAAAACGGUGGCUUAUGCAUCUAGGUAGUUGAAGGUGCAUGAGCGAAAUUACCCCACGCAUGACUUGGAAUUAGUGGUCGUGGUGUUCGCACUAAAAAUCUGGUGGCAUUAUCUUUAUGGGGUACAUAUUGAUAUAUUUAUUGACCACAAGAGUUUAAAGUAUGUUUUCUCAUAGAAAGAAUUAAAUCUCUGGCAGAGGCGUUGGUUGGACCUUUUGAAGGAUUAUGACAUGAGCUUGCACUAUCAUUCGGGCAAGACGAAUGUGGUAGGCGACGCCCUCAGCAGAUUAUCCAUAGGCAGUCUUUCUCAUGUUAUUAAGAACAAAUAACAAUACCUAAAACAAAGCAAUGACAUAUCCAUACUAACUUAAUCACACAUAAGACUGAAAUGACUAACUCCAUGUUCUUGUUGUAAGAUCAAAUAAAACUAGUAAAACUGAAAAUCAUACAAUUAGACAUAAUUCAAAGAUUAAAGCAGGUGUGGCCUCUCCCCUACUAAACAAGGGUUGGUGAAGUCUUGUAACAAUGCAAACAGGCAAAGAAGGAACAACUAAAAUAGCUAGAAAUUAUAAAAAAACUUAUUAUAGCCAGCCAAUCAUACAAUAAAACUAAACAUAUGGAUAGCUAAACGCGCUAAAAAUAUUGAACUUCAUUCAUACUAAUUUACAAGAAUACGAAACACUUAACAGGCGCACAAUAAGGUAUCGAUAACUGUAGACUACCAAAAAUCUACUACUUGCUUCAGGCUUGUGCUUCAUAGCAAGUCAAGCGAAACAACUUGAAGCAACCAAAAUCAUCUUUCAAAAAUUAAAUAAGCUCCAGCUUGUUCACCUUAGUUUGAGAGCCUAAAAUCGUGUGAUUAUUUAAGGUAAUUGCCUAUACUAUAUGAAUACAAGAUGGUACAUGCUUAGCCAUAGAAGAGCUAUUCAAACAAGUUAAAAACUACCUUCACAGCUAUUCAAACAAGUUAAAAACUACCUUCACAUUGAGUUGUCAAGCCUCGUUAGUCAUUCUUAAUUCCCAAGUUAACGGAAAGGAAAAAAAUAGAGAACUAAAUAUAAUACUUUCAAAAUUUAAAGCUUGUAUAACCUGUAUUAUGCUAUGUUAUAAAAGUUAAAAAUACCGUUUAAGUAGAUGGCUAUCCUAAAAUAAUACCAACAAGAUGUCAUAUUCAAGUGUUCAAGAACAAACAUUCCACUAUAGAUAGUUUUAUAAAGCUUUGACCCUUUAAGAAAAUAAGACAGAUUGUCAUUUCAGCUUCGUCUUAAAAGGUUUAAAAAUCACAGAAAAAUGAUAAGUUCAUGGUCACCAAAAUGAUGUUGUACAUAACACAUAAGACAAAAUUUUAUAUCCAAACUUUAACACCUAAUUACUUGAAAAUAUGUCAACAUCCUGUGUUGUUAAGACUUUAUGCAAACAAUUUUCAUGCCUAAUUAAGGGCUGUCGAGGUCUUAGAAUAACACGUACAAGCAAAGAAAAGUUAGGGAAACCAUUAUCAUAUUUAAAAUACUUGAACCAACGUCACAAUGAACGAAAGAAAAAAAACCUAGUUACACAUAUUUGAGCACUUAGAGCCUUUUGGAGUAUGGCUUCAAAUUGAUUUAAUGUUAUGGAUAUUCUACAAAUAGGACUUGGCUUUAUAUUCAAACUAAAGAUAUAACUACAGAUAUGUCCAAUAUUCAAAGAAAAUAACAUAAAAUUUUUAUGUUGGACAACCGAUCAUCCAUGUAGUUUAGAGCUUUUAGAACUUUUCCCUGUUUAAGAAGAAAAGGCUGCUCACGUGUUGUAGAAUUCCUAACUAGGUAUAAAGACAAGUUUAAGAGAUACGACGUUAGAAAACACCCUACAUUUAUAUCAAAAUAAUCUUAAAUCCAGCCAUACUUAAGUGACAUAGAGUUUAUACAAGUGAAAUUGCAGGUCAUGAAUACAUUCUAUAAAUACAUAGUCUCAAAAGAAUAAAAAAAAACAAUAUUAUUUCACCUUUUAUGCCUGGAAUCAACCAGUGAACAUCUCGACUAGCACAGAGUGACAACAAACAAAUUAGUUCAAGUUCACGAUCAUCACCAGUAAAGCAAGCCAGACGACUCCUUAUGAUACUUUGAACUUAAAAGAUUUUAUUCAUGUCGAGUCAUAAACUAAAAUAAUUCAUAAAGACAUCACAUAUUAUGAACAGAAUCCAACAACCAGUCACCCUUUUUAUUUUGUCUUUAUCUUCAUAAUAAUUAGGCAAAAAGAGCGACAAACUCAUACGAUCAGCAAACCACUAAGCUAAGCAUAACAUAAAUAUAUAGGAUAGGAUUUAUUCUUACAGGUGUUUGCGAGACCAUGUCUGACUCACAUCAAAAUGUAAAGACAGAACUCAAAAAUACAAAUGACAAACACCUAUGCGUGUAUAUUCACAAAACUACAGAUUCAUACACAAAACAAACAUUUGGAAUUAAAAUUACAUAUUUAACUGCAAGACCAAAACAACAGCAACAACUCCAACUUGAAAUCAAGGUGAAUCCCAUGUCCAUAGAAUCCAAUAUAGAUGAAGGAAAAGAUAACUAAAAUGAAAUAAAAGGGGGCGGCUUCGCACCUUUUUUGGGGCAACGAACUAAGGCUUCCUCGUCGGAGAUCCAAAAUCAAACUCGGACUUCAAACUCGGAAAGGGAACAAGAAAAUAGGGAGCAAUACCAAUUUGGUGAUGCUUUUGCUAAUUUGAUAGAUGCUAAUUCUUGGUUGUUCUUGUUGAUUUUUUUUCUCAUCAUAAAUGGGAGACCAAAGUCUCCUUUUAUAGCCAAAUUUGAGGGUGCUACAUCGGUUAUCAAUAGAGGCUUCAAGAAUUCAAAUUUUGAAUUCUUGGAAAGCCCAAAUCUCAAAGAGAAAUAGAGGGGCCAAAUUGGAAGAAGAGAAAGGUUGAUUAUUAAUCGUUCACCUUUUCAGGUUGAUGUGAUGAGAGAAAAAGGCGCUAAUUCAAGGUGGAAGACUUGGACCAUCGAUUUUGAGGUAUAACAGACUCAUAUUCGAUGAUUCUUUAAUUCUGCCACCUUUUCCAAAAGUGGCAGUGGAUAUUAAGGGCUUUGUAGCUUUGUUUUGAGAAGACAAAAGCUGUGAGAGAGAUGAGUGCAGUGAUGGGGAAGAUAAAACAGAGAAAAGAUGGGUGGGAAAGGCUAAGAACACCAGAAUUUGCCAUUAUCUGGUGGUCAGUUGAAUGAUCAGCGUUUGCAAAUGGGAGAAAUGAGAUGUUAGUUUGGGUGAGAGGUGAGAUAAUAUUAGGGGUUUAAUGUUGGGAUGGGUCAAUGUCCAAUUGGGCUUAAGGCAGAUUUUGAGAAAUUUUGGGUUAGUAUUUUUGCUGAAUAACAAGGAGUAAAUGGUUCAAGAGAAUUAAGUUUAUAAGAAAAAUCCAAUUUUCCCAACCCAUUUUUAUUUAAUUAAUUUAACGAUGCUUAUACUAUUCUAACAUAUAUUUAUUUAUUCUUUUUAAAAGAAUUAGCGUAAUGAUAAUUUAAAAUAUAUUUACCUAUUUAUUUUUGAUUAAAUUUAUAAGAUACACUGUUAGUAAGAAAAACACCAUUUUUAAACUAUUAACGUUAAAAUAUAUUUUGAAAAAAUAUUCAAAAAUUCUAAGCAUUGAGAACUUAAUUUUAUGAAAAAAGGAGAUCCAAAAUUGGGUGUGAAUAACUUGUCCCUCUUAGACCAAAGCCCCAAAUCUCAAAGAGAAAUAGAGGGGCCAAAUUGGAAGAAGAGAAAGGUUGAUUAUUAAUUGUUCACCUUUUUCAGGUUGAUGUGAUGAGAGAAAAAGGCUAAUUCAAGGUGGAAGACUUGGACCAUCAAUUUUGAGGUAUAACAA